rnacentral:rRNA from 1 species
GUUGACCUCGGAUCAGGUAGGAACAGUGACUGAACUUAAGCAUAUCAAUAACGGAAAG